GCGCUGGCUUCAGCAGCACAUGUGCUAAAAUUGGAAGGAUACAGAGAUUAGCUUGGCCCCUACGCAAGGAUGACACGCAAAAUUGUGAAUCGUUCCACAUUCUU
rnacentral:snRNA from 1 species